CAGUACGAGGCAUGAUGUAUUAUAGAAGGGCACUAAAGCUUCAAGCCUUUCUUGAUAUGGCUACUGAAAAUGGUGAUG
rnacentral:snoRNA from 1 species